rnacentral:rRNA from 1 species
UACGUAGGGUCCGAGCGUUGUCCGGAAUUAUUGGGCGUAAAGGGCUCGUAGGCGGUUUGUCGCGUCGGGAGUGAAAACACCGGGCUUAACUCGGUGCUUGCUUUCGAUACGGGCAGACUGGAGGUAUGCAGGGGAGAACGGAAUUCCUGGUGUAGCGGUGAAAUGCGCAGAUAUCAGGAGGAACACCGGUGGCGAAGGCGGAUCUCUGGGCCGUAACUGACGCUGAGGAGCGAAAGCAUGGGGAGCGAACAGG